rnacentral:rRNA from 1 species
GCAUGCGCUGGGAGAGGAGUCCGCGGCCGAUUAGCUAGUUGGUAGGGUAAAAGCCUACCAAGGCAUCGAUCGGUAGCCGGCCUGAGAGGGCACACGGCCACACUGGCACUGAAACACGGGCCAGACUCCUACGGGAGGCAGCAGUGGGGAAUCUUGCACAAUGGAGGAAACUCUGAUGCAGCGACGCCGCGCGAGCGAUGAAGCCCUUCGGGGUGUAAAGCUCUUUCGACAGGGACGAUAAUGACGGUACCUGGAGAAGCAGCUGCGGCUAACUACGUGCCAGCAGCCGCGGUAAUACGUAGGCAGCAAGCGUUGUUCGGAGUUACUGGGCGUAAAGGGUGUGUAGGCGGCCUUCUAAGUUCGGUGUGAAAUCUCCCGGCUUAACCGGGAGGGUGCGCCGGAAACUGGCAGGCUAGAGUGUGGGAGGGGAAAGUGGAAUUCCUGGUGUAGCGGUGAAAUGCGUAGAUAUCAGGAGGAACACCUGUGGUGUAGACGGCUUUCUGGACCAUAACUGACGCUGAGACACGAAAGCGUGGGUAGCAAACAGGAUUAGAUACCCUGGUAGUCCACGCCCUAAACGAUGCACAUUUGGUGUGGGUCAUUCAGUUGAUCCGUGCCGGAGCUAACGCGUUAAUGUGCCGCCUGGGGAGUACAGUCGCAAGGCUGAAACUCAAAGGAAUUGACGGGGGCCCGCACAAGCGGUUGAGCAUGUGGUUUAAUUCGACGCAACGCGAAGAACCUUACCUGGGCUCGAACGGCUUUGGACCAUCCUUGGAAACAGGGACUUCCCGCAAGGGACCGGAGUCGAGGUGCUGCAUGGCUGUCGUCAGCUCGUGUCGUGAGAUGUUGGGUUAAGUCCCGCAACGAGCGCAACCCUUGUCCUGUGUUGCCAUAGAUGGAACUCGCAGGAGACCGCCAGGGAUAACCUGGAGGAAGGUGGGGAUGACGUCAAGUCCUCAUGGCCUUUAUGUCCAGGGCUACACACGUGCUACAAUGGACGGUACAAAGCGUCGCCAACCCGCGAGGGGGAGCUAAUCGCAAAAAACCGUUCUCAGUUCGGAUUGCAGGCUGCAACUCGCCUGCAUGAAGCUGGAAUCGCUAGUAAUGCUAUAUCAGAACGAUAGCGUGAAUACGUUCCCGGGCCUUGUACACACCGCCCGUCACAUCACGAAAGUGGAUUGUACUAGAAGUUCUCAGGCGAAAAAAAAAG